rnacentral:tRNA from 1 species
GAGGGCAUAGCUCAGUGGUAGAGCUCAUGCUUAGCAUGCAUGAGGUCCUGAGUUCAAUCCCCAGUACCGCCA